CCCUUAGAUGUCCUGGGCCGCACGCGUGCUACACUGAUGCAUACAGCGAGUACUUUCCAGCUCCGCGAGGCAGCUGGUAAUCAGCAAUAUGCAUCGUGCUGGGGAUAGAUCUUUGGAAUUAUAGAUCUUGAACGAGGAAUUCCUAGUAAGCGCAAGUCAUUAGCUUGCGCUGAUUAAGUCCCUGCCCUUUGUACACACCGCCCGUCGCUCCUACCGAUUUCGAGUGAUUCGGUGAACCUUUUGGACAGCGUCUGUCCUCGUGUCAGAUGCUGAAAGUCAAGUAAACCAUACCACUUAGAGGAAGGAGAAGUCGUAACA
rnacentral:rRNA from 1 species